UCCAACUGGUUUCCGUUAUAUUUGGGAAGAUGGUCAGACAAGUCGCUCAGGGGCUGGGUUUGUCGUUUAAUAGCGAAAUGUCGUUGUAUGCAUAUUUGCACUGAACCAAUAAAACGUUUACAACGCGGACGAAGAAUGCGCCAGUCUUCGCAGAAAGUCUAAAAUGGCCAUAAUAAGGGAACUUAAAGUCUGCCUUCUCGGGGAUACGGGAGUCGGGAAGUCUAGUAUUGUGUGCCGCUUUGUGCAGGACCACUUCGACCAUAACAUAAGUCCAACUAUUGGUGCAUCUUUCCUGACUAAGACUGUCCCAUGUGGGAACGAGCUCCACAAGUUUCUCAUCUGGGAUACGGCUGGCCAGGAGAGGUUCCACUCCCUGGCGCCAAUGUACUACAGAGGAUCCGCAGCCGCAGUCAUCGUUUAUGACAUCACAAAGCUGGACUCGUUCCAGACGCUGAAGAAGUGGGUUAAGGAGCUGAAAGAGCAUGGCCCAGAGAACAUUGUGGUGGCCAUAGCAGGCAACAAGAAUGACCUGGGAGACAUUAGAGAGGUUCCUAUGAAGGAGGCCAAAGACUUUGCCGAGUCCAUCGCGGCCAUCUUCAUCGAGACCAGUGCCCGCAACGCCGUCAACGUGGAGGAGCUCUUCCAGAAGAUCAGUGAGUGUCUUGCCGCGUCCCAUCCACCUCGACAUGCCUUCCUGUCAGAGUACAACAAGCAGAGUCGUCAGAUCCCGCCACUGGAGAACCCAGACUUGGACAGCAACGAGUCCUUUAAACUGACCCGUCAGGCCCCUCCAUCCAGCCGCCGCUGCUGCUAGACACGCGUGCGCGCGCGUGCACACACACACACACACACACACACACACACACUCACACACAUUUAGGUCUACACAUAUACUUUCACAUGUAGAUGCAUGUAUGCAAGUGGAUGCAAACACCCCCCAUACAUGCAGGCAUCCAUCCAUCCACACACACGCAGGCUUUGAGCUACAAGUGCAAAAGCACCUAGCGGUCCCGUCCUUACACAGUGAAAGCACAACAGCCAGGCCUCUCACUGCAGACGACAACCUCAGUUCAGGAGGCGUGCCCUUCACACAUCAGCACAAAACACACACAUAUUUGCACGCACACACACACACGCCCAGACCAGCUUAGUGUUUCAGGCUGCAGCCGCACACCGGAUUCCAGGGAGGACCCACACCAUCUCUGCCCACCUGACUGGAUGCCUCAGUGCCAGCCAAACCAACACUCGCUGCUUCCCAUUCGGCACACAGGACCGACAGAUGCAGGGUCCAGGAAGACUUCCAUAGCACGGUGGAACAGUCUCAUCCCCACCUGCCCACCACCGCACACCCACCCAACAGGAGACACCCAGCGCCAACCCCCA